rnacentral:misc_RNA from 1 species
UCCUGGUUUCCCAGGCAGUCCCAUCAGAGUGCUUCCUUACGGAAUUGCAACUGACGGCAAGAGUUGCGCUCGUUAAAGGACUUAACCCAACAUCUCACGACACGAGCUGACGACAGCCAUGCAGCACCUGUGCAUGCGUCUAAGCUUUCGCUUAAAAAGUCCUGUUUCUAGGACGGUCAUAUGCAUGUCAAGCCUAGGUAAGGUUCCUCGCGUAGUGUCGAAUUAAACCACAUGUUCCACCGCUUGUGCGGACCCCCGUCAAUUCCUUUGAGUUUUAAUCUUGCGACCGUACUCCCCAGGCGGAUCACUUAACGCGUUAGCUGCGACACUAAUCACGCAAGCGUGACUAACGUCUAGUGAUCAUCGUUUACAGCGUGGACUAC